GGCUGAGUUUGCCAGGAGGAGAUGCGGCAGAAUAAGAUGGGGGAGAGAGCUGGGCAGUGGUGGCACAUGCCUUUAAUCCCAG
ensembl:miRNA